rnacentral:rRNA from 1 species
CGCAUCUGUGCAUGCAGCAUAUCAAUAAGCGGAGGAAAAGAAACUAACAAGGAUUCCCUUAGUAACGGCGAGUGAAGCGGGAAGAGCUCAAAUUUGAAAUCUUCAAGGUUUUACCUUGACGAAUUGUAGUUUAAAGAAGUGUUUUCUGCUGAAGUUUUGGUAAAAGUUCUUUGGAAUAGGACAUCAUAGAGGGUGAGAAUCCCGUAUUUGACCAUUAUUUUCAGCUUUGUGAUACACCUUCAAAGAGUCGGAUUGUUUGGGAAUGCAGUCCAAAAUGGGUGGUAAAUUUCAUCUAAAGCUAAAUAUUGGCGAGAGACCGGAUAGCGAACAAGUACCGUGAGGGAAAGAUGAAAAGAACUUUGAAAAGAGAGUUAAACAGUACGUGAAAUUGUCAAAAGGGAAGCGUUUGACACCAGUGUUGUUUUCUCGAAAAUCAAUUAAAAAUGGCUCGAUUUUGUAUUGCUUGAGACCUUAAAAGCUCACUGUACAUUUUUCGUGUCUUUUUUAAUGCACUUUUCGUUUAACAAGUCAACAUCAGUUUCUUUUGUUGUAAAAGAGUCAUUGGAAGGUGGCUUUCUUUUCGGAGAAAGUGUUUAUAGCCUUUGGCCUCUGCAAUCGGAGAGACUGAGGUCUGCAGCGUAGACUCUUCGGGGUUAGAUACAUUUGUGCUAAGUUAUAGCUUUUUAUAGACAACUUGUUGACUAUAAUUAGUCUUGUAGCUUACUCGCUUAUGCUAUUUUACCUACGCUUAGGAUGUUGACGCAUGAGAUAUACGC